rnacentral:rRNA from 1 species
CAGCCUGAUCCAGCCAUGCCGCGUGAGUGAAGAAGGCCUUCGGGUUGUAAAGCUCUUUCGGCCGGGAAGAAAUCGGCGACUCUAACAUAGUCGCUGGAUGACGGUACCGGACUAAGAAGCACCGGCUAACUACGUGCCAGCAGCCGCGGUAAUACGUAGGGUGCGAGCGUUAAUCGGAAUUACUGGGCGUAAAGCGUGCGCAGGCGGUUUUGUAAGACAGAUGUGAAAUCCCCGGGCUUAACCUGGGAACUGCGUUUGUGACUGCAAGGCUAGAGUACGGCAGAGGGGGGUGGAAUUCCUGGUGUAGCAGUGAAAUGCGUAGAGAUCAGGAGGAACACCGAUGGCGAAGGCAGCCCCCUGGGCCUGUACUGACGCUCAUGCACGAAAGCGUGGGGAGCAAACAGGAUUAGACACCCUGGUAGUCCACGCCCUAAACGAUGUCGACUAGUCGUUCGGAGCAGCAAUGCACUGAGUGACGCAGCUAACGCGUGAAGUCGACCGCCUGGGGAGUACGGCCGCAAGGUUAAAACUCAAAGGAAUGGACGGA